rnacentral:rRNA from 1 species
AAGGUGAGCCAGUACAGGAUGGACCCGCGUCUGAUUAGCUAGUUGGUAAGGUAACGGCUUACCAAGGCGACGAUCAGUAGCCGACCUGAGAGGGUGAUCGGCCACAUUGGAACUGAGACACGGUCCAAACUCCUACGGGAGGCAGCAGUGGGGAAUAUUGCACAAUGGGCGAAAGCCUGAUGCAGCAACGCCGCGUGAGUGAUGAAGGCCUUCGGGUCGUAAAACUCUGUCCUCAAGGAAGAUAAUGACGGUACUUGAGGAGGAAGCCCCGGCUAACUACGUGCCAGCAGCCGCGGUAAUACGUAGGGGGCUAGCGUUAUCCGGAUUUACUGGGCGUAAAGGGUGCGUAGGCGGUCUUUCAAGUCAGGAGUGAAAGGCUACGGCUCAACCGUAGUAAGCUCUUGAAACUGGGAGACUUGAGUGCAGGAGAGGAGAGUGGAAUUCCUAGUGUAGCGGUGAAAUGCGUAGAUAUUAGGAGGAACACCAGUUGCGAAGGCGGCUCUCUGGACUGUAACUGACGCUGAGGCACGAAAGCGUGGGGAGCAAACAGGAUUAGAUACCCUGGUAGUCCACGCUGUAAACGAUGAGUAC